rnacentral:rRNA from 1 species
AACGAACGCUGGCGGCAUGCCUAACACAUGCAAGUCGAACGAGACCUUCGGGUCUAGUGGCGCACGGGUGCGUCACGCGUGGGAACCUGCCCUUAGGUUCGGAAUAACUCCCCGAAAGGGGUGCUAAUACCGGAUAAUGUCUUCGGACCAAAGAUUUAUCGCCUUUGGAUGGGCCCGCGUUGGAUUAGCUAGUUGGUAGGGUAAAAGCCUACCAAGGCGACGAUCCAUAGCUGGUCUGAGAGGAUGGUCAGCCACACUGGGACUGAGACACGGCCGAGAAUCUUACGGGAAGCAGCAAUGGGGAAUGGGGGAAAAUGGGGGGAGGCAUGAUGCAGUAAGGCUGGGUGAGUUAUGAAAGCAGGAGAGAAGAAAAGCGCAUUUAACCAGGAAGAUAAUGACGGUACCGAAAGAGAAAGCCACGGCUAACUACGUG